rnacentral:rRNA from 1 species
CGAAACUGCGAAUGGCUCAUUAUAUAAGUUAUCGUUUAUUUGAUAGUACCUUACUACUUGGAUAACCGUGGUAAUUCUAGAGCUAAUACAUGCUAAAAAUCCCGACUUCGGAAGGGAUGUAUUUAUUAGAUUAAAAACCAAUGCCCUCUGGGCUCUCUGGUGAUUCAUGAUAACUUCGCGAAUCGCAUGGCCUUGCGCCGGCGAUGGCUCAUUCAAAUUUCUUCCCUAUCAACUUUCGAUGUUUGGGUAUUGGCCAAACAUGGUUGCAACGGGUAACGGAGGGUUAGGGCUCGACCCCGGAGAAGGAGCCUGAGAAACGGCUACUACAUCCAAGGAAGGCAGCAGGCGCGCAAAUUACCCAAUCCCGACACGGGGAGGUAGUGACAAUAAAUACUGAUACAGGGCUCUUUUGGGUCUUGUAAUUGGAAUGAGUACAAUUUAAAUCCCUUAACGAGGAACAAUUGGAGGGCAAGUCUGGUGCCAGCAGCCGCGGUAAUUCCAGCUCCAAUAGCGUAUAUUAAAGUUGUUGUGGUUAAAAAGCUCGUAGUUGAACCUUGGGCCUGGCUGGCCGGUCCGCCUCACCGCGUGUACUGGUCCGGCCGGGCCUUUCCCUCUGUGGAACCUCAUGCCCUUCACUGGGUGUGGCGGGGAAACAGGACUUUUACUUUGAAAAAAUUAGAGUGCUCAAGGCAGGCCUAUGCUCGAAUACAUUAGCAUGGAAUAAUAGAAUAGGACGUGUGGUUCUAUUUUGUUGGUUUCUAGGACCGCCGUAAUGAUUAAUAGGGACAGUCGGGGGCAUCAGUAUUCAAUUGUCAGAGGUGAAAUUCUUGGAUUUAUUGAAGACUAACUACUGCGAAAGCAUUUGCCAAGGAUGUUUUCAUUAAUCAGGAACGAAAGUUAGGGGAUCGAAGACGAUCAGAUACCGUCGUAGUCUUAACCAUAAACUAUGCCGACUAGGGAUCGGACGAUGUUAUUUUUUGACUCGUUCGGCACCUUACGAGAAAUCAAAGUGC